GUGAUCGUAGCUCAGCCCGGUAGAGCCCCUGCCUGUGGAGCAGGUUGUCGCGGGUUCAAAUCCCGUCGAUCACC
rnacentral:tRNA from 1 species